rnacentral:rRNA from 1 species
GACGUAGGGCGCGAGCGUUGUCCGGAAUUAUUGGGCGUAAAGAGCUCGUAGGCGGUGUGUCGCGUCGGCCGUGAAAACCUGCAGCUUAACUGUGGGCUUGCGGUCGAUACGGGCAUCACUGGAGUUCGGCAGGGGAGACUGGAAUUCCUGGUGUAGCGGUGAAAUGCGCAGAUAUCAAGGAGGAACACCGGUGGGCGGAAGGCGGGUCUCUGGGCCGAUACUG